AUCCGGUAAGUAAGGCUACCGCAGGGAUAUGGAUUGCUGCCGCGAAAUGGUGGAGACACCAUUAGAGGGUCAACAGGUGGUAUCGAAGCACAAGGUAUCACUUAAUGCAAUUUCACGCGCGACUUGCCCAUGGCGAGCGCCCUGCCCUGCGAAGCUGAAGCUCGAACGGUG
rnacentral:sRNA from 1 species